AGAUGGGCCACUACUAAUUUUUGCUAUCGUAGUAUUCUCGUUUUCUGCUACAAAAUCAAUGUGACAAAUUGAAGAAUUCAACAAAACUUCGACAACAGUUAACGAACGAUUUGCUAUCUGUUAACAAAUAAUUUAAAAGCCAGACACUUUGCGAGACAAAUCAAAACGAUUGUAGUUUGCACACUGAGAAACAAGCAAACGAAAAUCGAAAGAGGGACUCACGAUUCCGGAAGAGAGACGUCAUUUUCUAGAAGCACGUGUAGUCCAGUAAGCAGUGACCAACUGGCAAGGGAAAUGUAAGGAUAUCUGAUGAGGUGGGAUGAUGUGAACAUGAUCUGCUUUAUCAUCUAUCGACUUAAGACGAACGGAUGCGCGCCUUCACACAUGAAAAACUUUUACAUACGGGAAGUAGCACAGUGGUCUGCUCAGCUGUUGCCUGGCUCGCCAGACGAUAUGGCAUCAUAUUGAAUCGUUAUAGUAUACCGGCACGGUUGUGAACCAGAGAAUGUUGAAGGCUAGUAAUUGGAACUAUAGUGUGAUCACAUUGAACGAGAUGCAUCUUGAGAACGAAUUCUUCGUUACCUUUUCUGCUGUACCCUCAUUUGCAUCCGAUGAUACUUCCGGCGCGGGAAUCCCGCUCUGCAGUACUACCCGAAUUCCGACGUGUGUUAGUUUCCAUAUUGAUCGGGAGAUGAUAUAUUCAUUUUUGGCGUACAUUCCACUCAAUCAAAUCGUGGAAAAUUAUUUUAUUCAGAC